CGCGUAGAGAAAUUGUUGUUCCGUUUGCGUACGUUUCCACAUUUCUAUCCUCAAACCGAUCUCACUGAUCAUACACAAUUCGACGACAACAAGCAAGGAGCUGGAAGACAGACUUUCUUGCGUGAAAAUGACCACGCAUAACCGGUCGACGCAUCCGUCCUCGUUCACGAGUAUAGAAACACUGACCUGCCGUCACGAGAGGAGAGCAAACCAGGUAAGAGAUCGACUUUAAAUAUACAUCGACAUUUUACAAAAAAUAAUAAUGUUGGAGCAGAAGAAAUUUCUAUAUAUGUAG
rnacentral:misc_RNA from 1 species